GGCAGGAUGGCCGAGUGGUUAUGGCGGAAGGUUCAAGCAAAUACUCACAGUCAAAUGUGAUGUAGCUUCCCUGAUGAAAAUUCAGGACGCUUUUCUUCUGGAGCAAUCCGCAGGGGUUCGAAUCCCCUUCCUGUCA